UUGACUAUAGUCGUGCAUACAGUAUAACGAGCAUAACCUAAUCAUCAUCGUUACCAGAAUCAGCGUCAUGGCUGCAUUCCUCGCUCUUUUCAGUGAAACGUAACCAAUAAAUGUUCCGUUCUCUUGUGCCACUGAAGUCCUAGCUGCGUCCCACCCACAUAUAAAUCUCAUCAUCAACAUUCCUCAACGUUACUUCGAUCGCCGAGAUAGAAUGGCAGGUAAGCGACUCCCGACAAUACUGCAUGUUCCUUGUAACCUAUAAACUGUCUCCCUUAUUCUGUCAACAUGGCCCUGCUUCGGUGCACCCAGAAACUGUCUCUCACCCACCUCAAGAUUAUGGAUGAUUGAGCGGCGUGCUAUCUGGAUUAGCGAGGGUUCACUGACAACGUGAGCUGUCAGGAGGAAGACGUUGUCAACUAGGAAAGGGGGUACCUGGUAUACGCGACCAAUUGACGGCUGUAUCGUUGCUCGUGCGUUUCUCAUGAAAGAUUCAUGGGGCAAAAGUUUUCUCGCGAGAAGAGGUUAGCCGCAGCAUAAAAGUGUCGUUAGAGAACGACCGAAGGAAUAUAUUCGAUGUCAUCGGUCAACGUCAAGAGAUAGAGCACGUGAAAGGACCGUGUACGAGCUUAUACAGUCGAUCCAAUUGGUUCUUGCCAGCUUACCAGGACACGGGAUUGGCUGUCGGUUACUUUAGACGGAAGUAUAGUACAAGACGUUAAUGGCUCUGGUUCACUGUGAACAUAGCAAACGCGUUCCUACAACGGACCAUUCUCUGUUCUUGUAGCUGAUAUGGAAUUUCAUGAGAACCGGAAGGAAACCUUUGGCGCGGGUUGAACGAUCCGCA